CCUACUGGUGGCAGCAGUGAGGAAUAUUGGUCAAUGGACGAGACUCUGAACCAGCCAUGCAGCGUGAAGGAUGACUGCCCUAUGGGUUGUAAAUUCUUUUGAUAUGGGAAUAAAAUGUUCCUCGUGUGGAAUUUUGUAUGUACCAUAUCAAUAAGGAUCGGCCAUCUUCGUGCCAGCAGCCGCGGUAAUACGGAGGAUCCGAGCGUUAAGCGGAUUUAUUGGGCUUAAAGGGAGCGUAGGUGGAGUGUUAAGUUAGGUGUGAAAGUUUAGGGCUCAACCUGAGAAUUGCAUUUGAUACUGGGAGUCUUGAGUACAGUAGAGGUGGGCGGAAUUCGUGGUGUAGCGGUGAAAUGCUUAGAUAUCAGGAGGAACACCGAUGGCGAAGGCAGUUCACUGGAAUGGAACUGACGCUGAGGCGCGAAAGUGUGGGUAGCAAACAGGAUUAGAUACCCUUGUAGUC
rnacentral:rRNA from 1 species